rnacentral:misc_RNA from 1 species
AACUUUUGACAAUGGAUCACUUGGCUCUCGCAUCGAUGAAGAACGCAGCGAAUCGCGAUAUGUAAUGUGAAUUGCAGAUCUACAGUGAAUCAUCGAAUCUUUGAACGCACCUUGCGCUCCUCGGUGUUCCGAGGAGCAUGCCUGUUUGAGCGUCAGUAAAUUCUCAACCCCUCUCGAUUUGCUUCGAGUGGGGCUUGGAUAGUGGGGGCUGCCGGAGACCUGGAAUUCAUUCUGGGACUCGGGCUCCUCUGAAAUGCAUCGGCUUGCGGUCGACUUUCGACUUUGCGCGACAAAGCUUUCGGCGUGAUAAUGAUCGCCGUUCGCUGAAGCGCAUGAAUGAACGGUCCCGUGCCUCUAAUCAGUCGACGCCUUCUGGGCGUCUUCCUUAUAGACGUUUGACCUCAAAUCAGGUAGGACUACCCGCUGAACUUAAGCAUAUCAAUAAGCGGAGGCU